UUUUAAGAAAAUGGCACAUUUGGGAAGGAUAAUUUGGAAGAAGCUAUGAAAAUUUUAAGUGUACCUGCCCUUUGAUCCAGCAAUUCCAUUUCCAGGAAUCUGCUGGACAGAAAUUCUUGCCUGUGAGCCCGAAUAUAAGUCCAGCGACAUUCAUGAAAGCAUUGUGAAAAUUAGUAAACAGCCCAAACCCUCAGAGAAGGAGAUGUUUAGGAGUGAUGGCGUGGUGAUGCCUGGAGAAGCUGUGUUGGAAGGACCAAAGCUGAAGAGAAAAACACCUAGUGGUGUGGUGGGAAGAGGAUGUCCAUGGUUCCUGGCCGGGCUCUGCUGCUUACUGGACAGUACAGUGGAGCAGCUAAGAUCUCCCUUCAGGAUCAGCUGGAUCAGGGUUCCAACCCUGGGCUCAGUGCUUGUUGCUGUGUGACCUUGGGCAGUUGCUUAACCUCACUAAGCCUGUCUCUGUCUCUGGAAAAUGAGGGGAAACAGUAAUUUCUCUCUCAGGGUUGUAAAGAAUAAACCAAAAAAAAAAAAAAGAAUAAAUGAAAUAAAAAGAUAA